AAUCCGUCGUCUUUGCAAUAAGGACAGAGAUCAGGGACAGAAGGGAAUCGGUGUUAGGUAUAGAUCAUGUAGUGACAUACAGUACAUCGGAUAAAUGAGAGUUGCGGCAUCUGUGUACACAGAUAUGGGGUAUGUAAACAGUAGACAGUUUUUCUAUCCCAUAGCAUGAAAGAUUUGUUGUAUAAAACUGCAAAUUAAGAAGUUACACGAUCAUCAGUAAACUUGAAAAAUUAUCCGAUGGGCAUAACAAUACUUCUCCGAAACAUAAGAGCUUAUACCAAGGUUUCAUGAUGCCGGGUCAAUCAGGAGAUUUAUGUACUGCUUGAAGUUCACAAGUGAAGGAAAUCAGGGAAAUCAUGAUGUUCUAUUUCAAGAAAUCUUUGAGAAAAGAAAAAGAUAGAGUUGUGGAGUACUUUACAAUAAUUAGAAACCUAAUUAAAAUAUUGUUCUUUUUUUCAUUAAUAAAUGGUUAAGCCCA